rnacentral:rRNA from 1 species
GACGAACGCUGGCGGCGUGCCUAAUACAUGCAAGUAGAACGCACAGUUUAUACCGUAGCUUGCUACACCAUAAACUGUGAGUUGCGAACGGGUGAGUAACGCGUAGGUAACCCGCCUGGUAGCGGGGGAUAACUAUUGGAAACGAUAGCUAAUACCGCAUAAUAUUAAUUAUUGCAUGAUAAUUGAUUGAAAGAUGCAAUUGCAUCACUACCAGAUGGACCUGCGUUGUAUUAGCUAGUAGGUGAGGUAACGGCUCACCUAGGCGACGAUACAUAGCCGACCUGAGAGGGUGAUCGGCCACACUGGGACUGAGACACGGCCCAGACUCCUACGGGAGGCAGCAGUAGGGAAUCUUCGGCAAUGGACGAAAGUCUGACCGAGCAACGCCGCGUGAGUGAAGAAGGGUUUCGGAUCGUAAAGCUCUGUUGUAAGAGAAGAACGGGUGUGAGAGUGGAAAGUUCACACUGUGACGGUAUCUUACCAGAAAGGGACGGCUAACUACGUG